rnacentral:rRNA from 1 species
CCUACGGGAGGCUGCAGUGAGGAAUAUUGGUCAAUGGGCGUAAGCCUGAACCAGCCAAGUCGCGUGAGGGAUGAAGGUUCUAUGGAUCGUAAACCUCUUUUAUAAGGGAAUAAAGGGCGGGACGUGUCCCGUUUUGUAUGUACCUUAUGAAAAAGGAUCGGCUAACUCCGUGCCAGCAGCCGCGGUAAUACGGAGGGUCCGAGCGUUAUCCGGAUUUAUUGGGUUUAAAGGAUGCGUAGGCGGCCGUUUAAGUCAGCGGUGAAAGUCUCGGGCUCAACCCUAGAAUUGCCGUUGAAACUGGUCGGCUUGAGUAUGUUUGAGGCGGGCGGAAUGCGUGGUGUAGCGGUGAAAUGCUUAGAGAUCUCGCAGAACCCCGAUGGCGAAGGCAGCCUGCCAAGCCAAGACUGACGCUGAUGCACGAAAGCGUGGGGAUCAAACAGGAUUAGAUACCCGUGUAGUC